rnacentral:rRNA from 1 species
UAGGGAAUCUUCCACAAUGGACGAAAGUCUGAUGGNGCAACGCCGCGUAAGUGAAGAAGGUUUUCGGAUCGUAAAGCUCUGUUGUUGGUGAAGAAGGAUAGAGGCAGUAACUGGUCUUUAUUUGACGGUAAUCAACCAGAAAGUCACGGCUAACUACGUGCCAC